rnacentral:rRNA from 1 species
UUAGCGAUUUAAUUACAACUCCAAACCCCUGUGAACUUACCUAUGUUGCCUUGGCAGGUCGUGGUGUGUAGCGUGAUCGCUAUAAGGGAUCACCGCCUCGCACCACGCUGAAAGACCUGUCAAAGGACCCCUAAACUCUGUCUUACAACUGUAUCUCUGAGUCUAUUAUAUAAACAAGUUAAAACUUUCAACAACGGAUCUCUUGGCUCUGGCAUCGAUGAAGAACGCAGCGAAAUGCGAUAAGUAAUGUGAAUUGCAGAAUUCAGUGAAUCAUCGAAUCUUUGAACGCACAUUGCGCCUGAUAGUAUUCUGUCAGGCAUGCCUGUUCGAGCGUCAUUUCAACCCCCAAGCCCUAAUCUGCUUGACGUUGGGAGUUUACGGAGACGUAAUUCCUCAAAUAUAGUGGCGGAGCUAGGUCGUGCUCUAAGCGUAGUAACCACACUCUCGCUUCUGCAGCCGGCCUAGGUCUUGCCGUAAAACCCCUAUAUUUAUUUUUUUACUGGUUGACCUCGGAUCAGGUAGGAAUACCCGCUGAACUUAAGCAUAUCAU